CCGGAAGGAUGCAUUGACGUCAAAUUUUUUUCUGGACUCUGACAGCGUGUCUGACACACGGUGAUAGAAAAUCACCAAAACAGAGAAGAAAGAAACUCAUACAUGUUUGGACUGAUGUCAUGAUCAGCGCUUGAGGUCAAACGUGUCAGAAACACAAAGGUCAUCGACUGACAUCUUGAGUUCAAGGACUGAUUCUGACCUCUGUGACCUUCCAGGAGCCUGCGGUCGAUGGAUGAAUGACGCUGCAUUG